UACGGAAGGGGCGAGCGUUGUUCGGAAUCAUUGGGCGUAAAGGGCGCGUAGGUGGCUCUGUAUGUCUACCGUGAAAGCGUACGGCUCAACCGUAUUUUGUCGGUAGAAACUGCAGGACUUGAGGCUGGGAGGGGCUGGUGGAAUUCCCUGUGUAGCGGUGAAAUGCGUAGAGAUGGGGGAGAACACUCGUGGCGAAGGCGGCCAGCUAGACCAGUUCUGACACUGAGGCGCGACAGCGUGGGGAGCAAACAGG
rnacentral:rRNA from 1 species